AGAAGUGCAGAGGAAACGUUAGCGAAAUCUCACCUACCCGAACAGCCUCUCUGCCUGCUCUUUAAACGCGCAUCCAAUCAAUCAGACUUCAUUGAAUUUUUGAUCGUUCCAACCCCUCGAAUCCGUCCGAAUUUCUCUUUCCUACAAAACCCAGAUCUUGGUUUUACUCAAUUCGGCCAAAUCUUCCAGAAAUCACCCGUACUUUUGGGCUCUAAAAUCACAGAUAAAAAAUGGUUACUCCCUCAUCGAACCUAUCUAGAAUAGGCCUUGCUGGCCUUGCUGUCAUGGGCCAAAACCUCGCCCUCAACAUUGCCGACAAAGGCUUCCCCAUCUCUGUCUACAACCGAACCACGUCCAAAGUUGAUGAGACUGUCGAACGAGCCAAACAGGAAGGGAACCUCCCCCUAUUUGGUUUCCAUGACCCUGAAUCCUUUGUGCACUCGAUCCAAAAACCUCGUGUAAUAAUCAUGCUUGUGAAGGCCGGGGCCCCUGUUGACCAAACCAUCAAGACGCUCUCUGUUUACAUGGAGAAAGGCGACUGCAUAAUCGAUGGUGGUAAUGAGUGGUACGAGAACACGGAAAGGAGAGAGAAAGCCAUGGCUGAAUUGGGUCUGCUCUAUCUAGGAAUGGGAGUGUCGGGUGGUGAAGAGGGUGCCCGUCGGGGGCCGUCUUUGAUGCCCGGCGGGUCCUUUGAGGCCUUUAAGAACAUCGAAGAUAUCCUUUUGAAGGUGGCAGCCCAGGUCCCAGAUAGCGGCCCUUGUGUUACAUACGUUGGCAAAGGGGGAUCAGGUAAUUUUGUUAAGAUGAUCCACAACGGGAUCGAAUAUGGUGAUAUGCAGUUAAUUGCAGAAGCGUAUGAUGUACUGAAGUCGGUUGGGAAGCUCUCGAAUGAGGAAUUGCACCAAGUCUUCACGGAGUGGAAUAAGGGGGAGCUUCUAAGCUUCUUGAUUGAGAUCACAGCUGACAUUUUCGGGAUUAAGGAUGACAAGGCCGACGGGUAUUUGGUAGACAAGGUUUUGGACAAGACUGGCAUGAAGGGUACUGGUAAGUGGACUGUCCAACAAGCCGCCGAUCUAUCAGUUGCGGCUCCGACGAUCGCUUCAUCUUUGGACGCGAGGUUCCUUAGUGGGUUGAAGGAGGAAAGGGUGCAAGCUGCAAAAGUUUUCGAAGAAGGCGGAUUCGGCGACAUCUUGAGUGAGCAGGCCGUGGACAAGGAGAAGCUGAUCGACGACGUCAGGCAAGCUCUGUAUGCCUCAAAGAUUUGCAGCUAUGCACAGGGAAUGAAUCUGAUCCGUGCAAAGAGUGUUGAAAAAGGAUGGGACUUGAAAUUGGGGGAGCUGGCGAGGAUUUGGAAGGGGGGUUGCAUCAUUCGUGCAGUAUUCUUGGAUCGGAUCAAAAAGGCGUACGACAGGAACCCAGAGCUUUCGAACCUUCUAGUGGAUCCGGAGUUUGCUAAGGAGAUCAUUGAUCGGCAGUCUGCUUGGCGGAGAGUCGUCUGCCUUGCUAUCAAUUCAGGUAUCAGCACUCCUGGCAUGUCGGCGAGCUUGGCAUAUUUUGAUACUUAUAGGCGGGCGAGGCUGCCUGCUAAUUUAGUCCAAGCUCAAAGGGAUUACUUCGGAGCUCAUACAUAUGAGAGGAUUGAUAUUCCUGGAUCCUUCCACACGGAGUGGUUCAAGAUCGCCAAACAGUCGAAGAUCUGAACUUCUUCCUUGGUUUCUUUUUUCCAAUUUCCUGCUUUCCCACUACACAACAGAUGCCGACUCUAUAUAAUGGUACGAUGGAUUGGAUCCACAAAGGCCAGGUUCCUGAAGACUAUUCAAUAGCAUGAAGUUUGUGCUUUUACUUGAUGAAAAUUUCAUUAAAAAUCCGUCUUCCUGCACUGCUCCUGAAUAUGGAACAUGUGAACAGCUUGAUUUGCUUUGUAUUACUUAAUUAUGCUACAUUCUAUAGCUAAUUAGCAGGAUUUUUAGCUAUAUAAUUCAUCUUAUUUUCAAUGCAUUAUGAUUUGAGGUGGCUUUA